CCUUACUGAUGGCAGAUGUCGGGUCUGCCUCGCUUAUACGUGCCCUUGCUGAUGGCAGAUGUCGGAUCUGCCUCGCUUAU
ensembl:miRNA